rnacentral:rRNA from 1 species
GGCGAACGCUGGCGGCGUGCUUAACACAUGCAAGUCGAGCGGUAAGGCUCCUUCGGGGGUACACGAGCGGCGAACGGGUGAGUAACACGUGAGUAAUCUGCCCCUCACUUUGGGAUAAGCCUCGGAAACGAGGUCUAAUACCGAAUACGACCGCUUCGGGCAUCCGAUGGUGGUGGAAAGUUUUUCGGUGGGGGAUGUGCUCGCGGCCUAUCAGCUUGUUGGUGGGGUAAUGGCCUACCAAGGCUUCGACGGGUAGCCGGCCUGAGAGGGUGACCGGCCACACUGGGACUGAGACACGGCCCAGACUCCUACGGGAGGCAGCAGUGGGGAAUAUUGGACAAUGGGCGGAAGCCUGAUCCAGCAACGCCGCGUGAGGGAUGACGGCCUUCGGGUUGUAAACCUCUUUCAGUAGGAACGAAGCGCAAGUGACGGUACCUACAGAAGAAGCACCGGCCAACUACGUGCCAGCCGCCGCCGUAACAC